GCCGGAGUAGCUCAGGGGUAGAGCACCGGUUUUGUAAACCGGCUGUCGCGGGUUCGAAUCCCGCCUCCGGCU
rnacentral:tRNA from 1 species